AUGGUGGUAAUUAAUUACGUUAACUUAAAACUAAAGCUACGAAGGUUCCAAACGCGCCCAAGUCUGCGAAAAGCCCACAACAAACUCAGCCGGGUAUUUGUUUUAUCAUCACCACUUUACAAUAUUAUUUAAGAUUAUUA